rnacentral:lncRNA from 10 species
CCGUGUAGAGAAUUUGCAUGUGUGGACAUUGCUUUGGAUCCCUCUGGAUCAGAAGUUCCCUUGUGGGCCCACUGUGAAGCUAAUUUAGCCCAUUCUAAGGCAAGACUCCUCUGAGGGCUCUUACCAAUGAUCCGUGUAUCGUGAUAAGGCCUCUCCAUCCUGGUAGAUGGGAAUAUGAACUACUCCAAGCCUUAUGAAUUGCUAAACGAAUUGUGAUACAGCCACACAAUGGACUACUGCUCAGCAAUAAAAAGGAAUGAACUAUUGAUAUGCCCAACAACGUAGAUGAACCUCAAAACCGUUAUGCCGAGCAUGGUGGCUGACGCUGGUAAUUCCACCACUUUGGAAGGCCAAGAUGUGAGGAUCACUUGAACCCGGGAGUUCCAGACCAGCCUGGACAGCAUAGUGAGAUUCUGUCUCUAUGCAAAAUAAAAUAAAAUAAAAAAUUAUCCAGGCACGGUGGCAUGCGCCUGUAGUUCCAGCUACUUGGGAGGCUGAGGCAAGAGGAUUGCUGGAACCCAGGAAGUUGAGGAUGCAAUAAGCUUGAUCACGCCACCACACUCCAGUCUGGGCGACGGAGCGAGACCCUGCCUCAAGAGAACAAACAACAACAACAGAAACCUAUGUUUCCCUCUAUGCACUGCUUUAGCUCGUUCAAUUUAAAAUAGUCUCUAAUUUCCCUCGUAUGUCUUUUAUGAUCCAUAAAUAAUUUAUAAGGGUGCUGUUUAAUUUCCAAAUAUUUGUGAUUUCCUCUGAAAUAGAUUAUUCCCACUGACUUAUUUCUGAUUUGUUUCACACAGUGUGCUUUGUAUGAUUUUAAUACAUUUAAAUUCAUUUAAAAUUGUUUUAUGGCCCAACAUAUGGUCAGUCUUGAAAAAUGUACUUCUUUUCACUUGAAAAGAAGUGUGUUUUUCAGUUCUAUAAAUGGUGUCCUAUGAAUUUCAAUUAGAUCAUGGGAGUUGAUAAUGUUAAAAUCUUCUAAGUCUACUGAUUUUUAAAAAUCUAGCUGUUGUAUUAAUUGGUAAGAAGAGUCUUAAAUAUAAUACUCUGACUGUAAAAUAGUCUAUUUUUUCUUUUCAUUCUGUCGAUUUUUGCCUGAUGUAUUUUGAAACUCUGUUCUUAGGUCUAUACACAUUUAUAAUUAUGUCUACACACAUUUAUAAUUAUGUCUACCUGAUCAAUUGUUCUUUUUUCUCAUAAUAAAAUAUCCCUCAUCUCUUCUAAUAU